AUGAUGUCAGCUAACUUUUGUCCUGUGACCAUAUUUAACUGUCGUGUCUCUGUUAGCAGCACACACAUUGUGCUCAGAAGCGAAGCAACAAGUGUAAGAGGCCAAAUUACCUCUCAAAUUUAUUACAGGUUGAUUUCUCCCAGCAAACCCACUCCAAAGCCACGUACAGAUAACACCACUAGCAUAGGAAGCUGGUUUGGAAACCAGCCCUCCCAUGGCACUGUCAGAGGAGUACCAAGAGGCUGCAAACCUCCCAUCGGCUGCCACGCGAGGGCUGUGACACCCCCUCCUUCAGCUGCUGAGGAACUCAAUCUGUGUUGGCAAUGCCUUUCAGAACCAAGCCACAUUCACUUUUCCAUAAGAGAUCCCAGCUUCAAUGAAAAAUCAUUUCUGGAGGAAAAACGUCCUGCUGGAAAAUAGUGACCAACUCUCACAAUCAUGGCUGAAAAUCCAAACACACCCAGACGUGCUGUAAGCCCUUGUUAUCUUUGGGGCAGCCUGAGUUUUUGUGGCGUCCCCAUGUGACAGCACUUUGAAUGGAGGAAGGUGAGGUGAGAGCAUGUGUAGGGGGUUUCUCUGCUCGGCCCUGCAAGAAUGCCUCCUCCCUCCACCCCCAGAAAGACCACGUUGCCUCCCAGUUCCCUGCUCUACCACCUCACCCCCAGUUUACCCUCUUGUCAUUUCCUCUUGCCCUCUUCCCGCCGUAUCACGUUUCCAGUUCAGAAUCUGUAGAUCCACAAUUGUUUAAAAAGCAGCUCAAACUUCCAACUUAUAAACAUCGCUUCCUCUGUCUCCUGAAUUUAUUUUAAUAGCUGAUAUUUGAGCCCAGGGGAUUGUUUUAACUAACACUGUAUAGUCAGAAGGAAUCACUUUCCUCCAGGCUACCUCUAGGUCAAUAGCAUAAGGCAAGACCCCCUCACAUUUCAUUACCCAGGGAUCAGAUCCCCUUUCCCAAUCCAUCACUCUGAAGCUCGUUCCUCCUGUUCCUCUCAGAUUUGCCCGAAUGAUUCAUGCAGUGCCAAAUCAACAGUAUAUUUGCUUUUUUCUCAGUUCAUUGUUUUUAUUUGCUUACAUGUUCCCUGUCGUAGUUCAACUCAUAAAUCAAUGCUGGUUUAUUUUCUACAAACCCGUUGAAAGUUUGAGCCAGUUUCCACUGUUAUGAAAGACUCCCAAUACUACACGUCCUUUAACAGGUGGAAAAUGUCUUAAGAGGCUGUUUGGAUGGGAACGAUUUUCUAACUUAAGGACAAAGUAGUAUUUAUUUAUGACUUAAUCUAAUUCCAAAACAAAGUAACAGUUCCCUGCACCGAAUUAUC
ensembl:lncRNA